UACGAAGGGUGCAAGCGUUACUCGGAAUUACUGGGCGUAAAGCGUGCGUAGGUGGUUCGUUAAGUCUGUCGUGAAAGCCCCGGGCUCAACCUGGGGAAUGGCGAUGGAUACUGGCGAGCUAGAGUGCGGUAGAGGAGAGUGGAAUUCCCGGUGUAGCAGUGAAAUGCGUAGAGAUCGGGAGGAACAUCAGUUGCGAAGGCGGCUCUCUGGACCAGCACUGACACUGAGGCACGAAAGCGUGGGGAGCAAACAGG
rnacentral:rRNA from 1 species